CAGACAGCUGCUCCCCCUCUCACUCUCCUGAUUCCUGUCGGGGUGGAGGCGGAGGAACGCUGUCGUUUAAGUUCAUAAUGCUUCUCAACUUAAACUCUCACGGAAAGGUGUUUAGUACAGAGUGUGUGCCAUGUCUCGUAUAUGAACCAGAAGCAGGAUGACGACUGAAACGGAGCACAUUGAGCUGAUGUCAGUGACGUGGCCGCAGCAGGCAGUCAUGCAGAACCGGCGGUUCAGAAAAUGGAGUCUGAGAUGAAGCCUGACACUGCUGAGAAGUCUUGUAAAUGAUGCUUGUCAAAAGGUAUUCCAACAGCUGUGCGGUUGCAGUUAAGUUGUGGAAAUGGCCGACUACUGCAGAUCUUGAGGGAGGCCUGUCUGUACAAACAGCAGAUGGAGCGUGGAGUACUGGAUCUUUUCUUCCUAUGCUGAGCUACUUUCUCCAGCCUGCUGUCCACAAGUUUUAUCUUCCCAUGUGUGUUGAACACAAUAAAUGAAAUGGUUUCACUGUCUUGCAAUAAAGUAUGCAGAUUUUCUAAGUGUAUAUAUUUGCACAUAUCUGGAUGGGAAGAAUAAACUGUCAAAUCAA